UACGAAAGGGGCUAGCGUUGUUCGGAAUUACUGGGCGUAAAGCGCACGUAGGCGGCCUUGUAAGAUCGGGGUGAAAUCCCCGGGCUCAACCCGGGAACUGCCUUCAUGACUGCAAAGCUAGAGGAUGCGAGAGGUUAGCGGAAUUCCGAGUGUAGAGGUGAAAUGCGUAGAUAUUCGGAAGAACACCAGUGGCGAAGGAGGCUAACUGGGGCAUUUCUGACGCUGAGGUGCGAGAGCGUGCGGAGCAAACAGG
rnacentral:rRNA from 1 species